GAUGAACGCUGGCGGCGUGCUUAACACAUGCAAGUCGAACGAAGAUGCCGGAGUGCUUGCACUUUGGCAGACUGAGUGGCGGACGGGUGAGUAACGCGUGGGUAACCUGCCUUAUACAGGGGGAUAACAGUUGGAAACGACUGCUAAUACCGCAUAAGCGCACGGUAUCGCAUGAUACAGUGUGAAAAACUCCGGUGGUAUAAGAUGGACCCGCGUCUGAUUAGCUUGUUGGUGAGGUAACGGCCCACCAAGGCGACGAUCAGUAGCCGGCCUGAGAGGGUGAACGGCCACAUUGGGACUGAGACACGGCCCAAACUCCUACGGGAGGCAGCAGUGGGGAAUAUUGCACAAUGGGGGAAACCCUGAUGCAGCGACGCCGCGUGAGUGAUGAAGUAUUUCGGUAUGUAAAACUCUAUCAGCAGGGAAGAUAAUGACGGUACCUGACUAAGAAGCACCGGCUAAAUACGUGCCAGCAGCCGCGGUAAUACGUAUGGUGCAAGCGUUAUCCGGAUUUACUGGGUGUAAAGGGUGCGUAGGUGGUAUGGCAAGUCAGAAGUGAAAGGCUGGGGCUCAACCCCGGGACUGCUUUUGAAACUGUCAAACUAGAGUACAGGAGAGGAAAGUGGAAUUCCUAGUGUAGCGGUGAAAUGCGUAGAGAUUAGGAAGAACACCGGUGGCGAAGGCGACUUUCUGGACGACAACUGACGCUGAGGCGCGAAAGCGUGGGGAGCAAACAGGAUUAGAUACCCCGGUAGUCCACGCCGUAAACGAUGAAUACUAGGUGUAGGAGGUAUCGACCCCUUCUGUGCCGGAGCUAACACAAUAAGUAUUCCGCCUGGGAAGUACGAUCGCAAGAUUAAAACUCAAAGGAAUUGACGGGGGCCCGCACAAGCGGUGGAGUAUGUGGUUUAAUUCGACGCAACGCGAAGAACCUUACCAGGUCUUGACAUUGAUCGCCAUUCCAAGAAAUUGGAAGUUCUCCUUCGGGAGACGAGAAAACAGGUGGUGCACGGCUGUCGUUAGCUCGUGUCGUGAGAUGUUGGGUUAAGUCCCGCAACGAGCGCAACCCCUAUCUUAUGUUACCAGCACGUUAUGGUGGGGACUCAUGAGAGACCGCCGCGGACAACGCGGAGGAAGGUGGGGAUGACGUCAAGUCAUCAUGCCCCUUAUGACCUGGGCUACACACGUACUACAAUGGGUGUCAACAAAGAGAAGCGAAACCGCGAGGUGGAGCGAACCUCAAAAACACACCCCCAGUUCAGACUGCAGGCUGCAACCCGCCUGCAUGAAGUAGGAAAUCGCUAGUAAUCGCGGGUCAGCAUACCGCGGUGAAUACGUUCCCGGGCCU
rnacentral:rRNA from 1 species